CUUGGUCAACAGGAAAGAAGUGGGACCUCCUGGCUCUUCCUCUGCAGCAUGGCUCAGACCUAGAGCAAUGUUUAAGCUCCCCUCUCUUCCCUGUUCAG
rnacentral:miRNA from 1 species